rnacentral:ribozyme from 12 species
CUAAAAAAGGUAGAAUUAAUCAAGAAAGAAAAAGAAGAGAUGGGGAGCCACAAUUUAGUAGAGUUAUUGUAAAGCACAGUAAUAAUUUUUUCUCUUCAUUCUUCUGUUCUUUUCAUUCUUUGGCUCAUUAUAGUAC